AAAAAAGCGUAUUAAAUCAAUACAGAUCAUUAGAUAUGUUAGGUAUUUUUUACAAAGGUGAAGGAGUGUUUUACAGGUGCGUAUGGAAAAAUUUAAACACGAUCAAAAGUUGAUGUUUUCUCAUCACUCACAUCUGUGUAUAUAUACAUAGCAAUAAUCAUUACGAAAUAUACAAAGAAAUAAUAUUUUCAACAGCUUAUACGAAUACCUGAAUAUUCAGAUAGAUUCAUUUUUUACCGUAUCUGCGUUUUGCAUGGUACAAGAUAAAACAUUGCCAUUGUGCAGUAAUUGAACACAGAUAUAAGCCAACGUCGAAUAUUGGCAGUAUUGUCUUGGCUUGCAGUGAUAGCAUUCUGCAAUUGGAUAACAUGGUUUAUCAAGCAGGUAACCGGAGGUCCAUUGAUGAACGAAGCAACUUGCCCGUCCACACAACCGAAGAAGACUACGAAGUUGAAUCUCCAGAUGGAUUGGGGACGUGAUUCAGGGAAUGGGAAUCGGACUAAAUUGACAGCGAGAAUACGCCAAUACGCAUAGAUCAGACAAGACUUUGACAAUCGCUACAUGGCGGCAAAUGCACACGAUGUUGAUCUGACAAAUAGCCAAACACAACAUAACACUGCAUGCAUUGAAGAAAAAAAUAAUGAUUGAAGUAAUAUCAUCUUUGAUCGUAUGUCCUUGGACGUAAGCUUCACAAAAUGUUUGACCUAUCUGAUAUCAAAAAGAUUUCUAGAACGUGUGGUAACAUUUUUCACUGCUUGAAGCGUUGUUAAAGAUUAUUUGAGCGACAUCUAACAAUAAAAGUUCGUGGUAACUAUCGA